UCUUCAGAGAUAGAUGGGAGAGGUUUAGGGUAACUGAAGGAUAGGACUGGAUGGUCUUCAGAGAUAGAUGGGAGAGGUUUAGGGUAACUGAAGGAUAGGACUGGAUGGUCUUCAGAGAUAGAUGGGAGAGGUUUAGGGUAACUGAAGGAUAGGACUGGAUGGUCUUCAGAGAUAGAUGGGAGAGGUUUAGGGUAACUGAAGGAUAGGACUGGAUGGUCUUCAGAGAUAGAUGGGAGAGGUUUAGGGUAACUGAAGGAUAGGACUGGAUGGUCUUCAGAGAUAGAUGGGAGAGGUUUAGGGUAACUGAAGGAUAGGACUGGAUGGUCUUCAGAGAUAGAUGGGAGAGGUUUAGGGUAACUGAAGGAUAGGACUGGAUGGUCUUCAGAGAUAGAUGGGAGAGGUUUAGGGUAACUGAAGGAGAGGACUGGAUGGUCUUCAGAGAUAGAUGGGAGAGGUUUAGGGUAACUGAAGGAUAGGACUGGAUGGUCUUCAGAGAUAGAUGGGAGAGGUUUAGGGUAACUGAAGGAUAGGACUGGAUGGUCUUCAGAGAUAGAUGGGAGAGGUUUAGGGUAACUGAAGGAUAGGACUGGAUGGUCUUCAGAGAUAGAUGGGAGAGGUUUAGGGUAACUGAAGGAUAGGACUGGAUGGUCUUCAGAGAUAGAUGGGAGAGGUUUAGGGUAACUGAAGGAUAGGACUGGAUGGUCUUCAGAGAUAGAUGGGAGAGGUUUAGGGUAACUGAAGGAUAGGACUGGAUGGUCUUCAGAGAUAGAUGGGAGAGGUUUAGGGUAACUGAAGGAUAGGACUGGAUGGUCUUCAGAGAUAGAUGGGAGAGGUUUAGGGUAACUGAAGGAUAGGACUGGAUGGUCU